rnacentral:rRNA from 1 species
GACAGAGGGUGCAAACGUUGCUCGGAAUUACUGGGCGUAAAGCGCGUGUAGGUGGAUUGGUGUGUCAGAUGUGAAAGCCCUGGGCUCAACCCAGGAACUACACCUGAAACUACCAGUCUUGAGUGGUGGAGAGGGAAGUGGAAUUCCUGGUGUAGAGGUGAAAUUCGUAGAUAUCAGGAGGAACACCAGUGGCGAAGGCGGCUUCCUGGACACCAACUGACGCUGAGACGCGAAAGCGUGGGGAGCAAACAGG